rnacentral:sRNA from 1 species
GGUUUCUUAAUUUUGUCACCUGUUGGUUCUACUCGACCCAAUGAUCGAGUAGGGCUCUUAAGUUCUUAUUUU